rnacentral:rRNA from 1 species
AACGAACGCUGGCGGCGUGCCUAACACAUGCAAGUCGAACGAGACCUUCGGGUCUUGUUGCGCUCGGCUGCUUACCACCUGGUGACCUGCCCUUAGGUUCGCUAUCACUGCCCUAAGGGUAUCCUAAUACCGCUUAAUGUCUUCCGGCCAAAGAUUUAUCGCCUUUGGAUGGGCGCGCGUUAGAUUAGGUGGUUGGUAGGGUACAAGCCUCCCAAGGCGACGAUCCAUAGCUGGUGUGAGAGGAGGAUCAGCCACACUGGGACUGAGACACGGCCCAGACUCCUACGGGAGGCAGCAGUAGAGAAUAUUGGACAAGGAACGCAAGCCUGAUCAAGCAAUGCCGCGGGAGUGAUGAAGGCCGUAGGGUCGUAAAGCUCUUUUACCCGGGAUGAUAAUGACAGUAACGGGAGAAGAAGCACCGGCUAACUCCGUG